UGGCAAAACUGAAAAGGCAACAGGGGCUGGAAAACAAAACAAAAGCAAAAAAACAAAAACAAAACAAAACACCCACACCAAACAAACAAGCACACUUUUCUGCUCCACAACCGUUGCUGGCGCCUGGUGUUUACGGAUUUUCUAGAACAAGUUUCCAUUGGAAAGUCCAAGCAUCAUGGCCAAAUGGUUAUUAACAAUGGACAUGGCAUUGUGAGAGGAAGACAAUGGAGUAACGAUUGGUGCUGAUGGACUUAGUAACUUGGCUAUUGUGGAACCUCAUCAAUCUGCCGCUGGGGCUUUCCAGAGGUCCCUGAAUACCUGUCCAGAGACUAAUUUUGAAGUAAAUAUGAGGUCAGCCGUGAAUGUUCACUAGCAAAAACUGUCUCCAAGGUCCUUGCGGACAAACCAUACAAGCUCCAGUGCUGAAGAUACUAUUGAGGAGGCUGCUGAUUACAGCCAUUGCACACCUGGCCCUGUGAAUAUUUAAAAAUAUUUACCAGAUAAGCUAUCAAUCGACACUUCAAGGGAAAAAAAACUUAAAAUGGAUAUGAGAAGUGAAGAAAGUGAUCAUAAGAGAAAAUCGUCUCAGGUAAAAUUAAAAAUCAACACAGCAACUAAUGUUUAAUAUUUUAUAAAAGCCAAAUUUUUUAUUGUAUUUAGUUAUAAGAAUUCGUUUCAUGGCCUUUAAGAAUCUAGCUGAUGGAAUUUUUGAUAAUGGUUUGAGAAUGCAUAGUACCUUUGUAUAAUAUUGUUCUGAGUUUUUGAUCAAUGUUUAAUCUGAUUCCCUUUGAAAACAUGGUUGUAUUUCCAUAAAUAUAACAUAGUUAAAAUACGAUGAGAUGUAAAAAAAUAGAAAAUGGGAAAAAAGAGAUAUUUUAGUCUUACCAUAUAAAAAAGAAGUGAAAUAAUCUACUGUGAGAAAAUAAAGUUGUGCUUUAAAAAGAUGUAAUCUAGUAAGGGAGUACUACAAAAAUAUAUAUUCUUACAGUUGUGAUAAAACUUAAAACAAUAUUAUCUUUUUUUGCACAUAUAAAUAUAUUAAUGUAGUUUGAAAUUUAUAUUACAACUAAUGCAUGGUUGUUGAUUUUUCUGCUGGAGUUUGUAUUAAAUAUGGACUUAAUUUUGAACUGAUAGUGAAAAUACAUAGGCAAAAUUAUAAAAAGUCUAUAAAAACACAUUUUAUUUUCAUUUAUAUCAAUAUGUGCUAAAAUUUUUAUAUCAAUAUGUGCUAAGUAAUUUUUAUGUGGGAUUAUUGCUUAUCACUCUUAAGAUUCAG